UCUCUGGGCAAAGUUCAUAGUCACUGUCAGAGUCUUCGCUGGAAACCUGGGGUCCCGGCUGCAUGUUGAUGGAGUUGCUGUCUUCUGGCCGCGUCCCUGCCGCCUCCAGGAUCAGGAGAGACCUGUGGGUCCUGCAGACACUGGACCUCGAGGGAUGCUGAACAGCAGAUCAUCCCCACGCAGUUUCUUGCCGAGACCUGGUAAACAGCGGCGUCGCUCUGGGUACAGCUAGGAAGAGGAUAGACAGCAGCUCUGGACUGUGACUCUGAUUACCACAGAUGACCAAGAAUGUCCCCAACACUCCUGGUCCACUCUCAGACCUCAGGAGAUGUUCACAGAGGGACCCUGUGAGAGUCAGCACAUUUCCAGCGUCAACUGAUGAGUGAGCCUUUCCCUGGCUGUUCCAAGGUCUGAAGAGAGGGGUUCUCGGACCAAUCUGUCACCUACCCACAAGACUCACAUGAUCUGUUCUGAAGAGUUAGCACCAUCAUGAGAAGAGCUACCAAACGCCUGUCUCUGGGAAAAGGCAUAUGGAGGACUUGGAGGGUACAUCUGAUGCACAUCUUGAAGUCCAAGGUCAAAGUUCCCUCAAAGGCAAACUCCCCCCUGAAGGCUCUGGGGAGAAUCAUCCUUUGUGUGGCCUUGCCGGCAGUCUUGGGCAGUCCUUGGCUUAUAGCUGCUUCCCCCUCUUUCUCAGCACCCAUCUCCUCUGGCUGUUUUCCUAACUGUGUCUCUGAUUUCCCUUUCUCCGUGGUCAUCAGUUUUGGGCUUACGCUAAUCCUUUAUAAGCUGAAUUAUGACUGCAAAGACAUUAUUUCCAAAUGAGGUUUUAGUCCAAGUGUAUAUAGAUUGGGGGGGGGGAAUAAUAUUCAUCUAUGUAUCCCGUGGGCACAUUGGUUUAUUGUGCCCAUGUAAGCAGCACCCUCUCCAUGACCUCUGCAUCAGCUCCUGCCUCUAGGUUCUUAACCAGUUUGAGUUCCUGCCCUGACUUCCUUCAAUGAUGAACAGUGAUGUGCAAAAGUAAGCCAAAUAAACCGUAUCCUCCCCAAGUUGCUUUUGAUCAUGGUGUUUUAGCACAGCAAUGAAAAUCCUAACUAGAAGAGGAUGUUUCUCUCUAGGUGUUGGUCUUGGACAUAUUUUCAUCUUUAAACUAUAUUCCUAAAAAGUCACGUGGUCUUCCACUUGUACACACGUUGAUGCUGUUUGCUUUCACUGUGAGGUAGAAAACAUCCACUCGUGUUUUCCUCCACUCCUCCCAAUUCCUAUAUCUGUGAAAAAGCAACAUAUUUUCAAGCUGUAUGCAGGUGUUAAUGUUAUAGCUGAUGUUUCUCUCUUGGAUAAUUUUUGGCUCUGUUUCUCUUCCCUGGCAAGCACUGCUGACCUGUAGCUAUGCAGACACUUAUGCAUCUUUCCCAGAAAGAGACCUUGAGGUGAGAAGGGGGUGUGGGCAGAAAAGUCCCACCAGGUACUGAAAAGAGGGAAAAGCUAAAUGCCAGUAAACCCAGCAGUGGAGUGGAUGUUCCUGAUAUGGCUUCAGUCUGAAUGUUCACCACACCGAGACACACGUGGGUCUCCGUGUGAUGAACAUAUGGUGAGGCUGUGUUAGAGGUUGUGGUGUUGGGAUGGAGGAAGGGGGGAGUCACUGGGAGCUGUCUUUGGAGGUUAUAUGUCCUUCCCUGGUCCUACUCUUUUUCCUGAUCCAUCAAGAUGUGAGAACUGGUGUGAGCCACAGCUUCUCACUGCCUCACACCAAGUCCCUCUAUCAAGCUUUCUCCUCUGCAAUGGGCUGUGUCAUCUGAAAGUGGUAAGUCCCCCCUCCCUGUUUCCAUCUAGUAUUCCAUCAAAGUCAUGGAAAAAAGGAACUAAAACCACCACAGAGCAAAACUACAGAUUGGAACUUCCAAACCCCCAGACUCCUUGAGAGGCAGGUGCCUCUGAA